GACGAACGCUGGCGGCGUGCUUAACACAUGCAAGUCGUGCGGAAAGGCCUCUUUUUGGGGUGCUCGAGCGGCGAACGGGUGAGUAACACGUGAGUAACCUGCCCCUGGCUUCGGGAUAAGCAUGGGUAACUGGGUCUAAUACCGGAUAUGACCUUCUGCUGCAUGGUGGGGGGUGGAAAGGGUUCUUCGGGAUUUGGCUGGGGCUGGGCUCGCGGUCUAUCAGCUUGUUGGUGGGGUGAUGGCCUACCAAGGCUGCGACGGGUAGCCGGCCUGAGAGGGUGACCGGUCACACUGGGACUGAGACCCGGCCCAGACUCCUACGGGAGGCAGCAGUGGGGAAUAUUGCGCAAUGGGCGGAAGCCUGACGCAGCGACGCCGUGUGGGGGAUGAAGGCCUUCGGGUUGUAAACUCCAGUCACCACCGACGAAGUUCUGCCUUUUGGGGUGGGGUGACGGUAGGUGGGGUGGAAGCGCCGGCUAACUACGUGCCAGCAGCCGCAGUAA
rnacentral:rRNA from 1 species